rnacentral:rRNA from 1 species
CCGCCAGAAGACGCUCUGCUCAAUUCCCCUGCCCGCAGCGCAGGUAAAUGCGGGGUGGGUCCUAGGUUGAAUAGGAAUUAACUGGAUUCACACGCCCACGCCCGGCGGUCCUGCUAGUUUGUAUGUGAAAUUCCCCCGGCUCCACGCCUAGGACCCUCCUUAGAAACUGGCCAGGCUUGAUUUUCUGUAGGAGGGGGGCUAGAAUUUCCCGAGCAUCCGAAUGUAAUUCUGUAUAUAUUUGGAGGAACUACCGGGGAUGGAAGUCCGCCCCCUCUUGUACCAAAAGACUGACGCUCAGGUGCGACAGUGUGUGGAACAAAACAGGGAUUAGAUACCCCUGGUAGUCCACCGCGUAAACGAUGUCGACUUGGAGGUUGUGCCCAUGAGGCGUGGCUUCCGGAGCUAACGCGUUAAGUCGACCGCCUGGGGAGUACGGCCGCAAGGUUAAAACUCAAAUGAAUUGACGGGGGCCCGCACAAGCGGUGGAGCAUGUGGUUUAAUUCGAUGCAACGCGAAGAACCUUACCUACUCUUGACAUCCAGAGAACUUAGCAGAGAUGCUUUGGUGCCUUCGGGAACUCUGAGACAGGUGCUGCAUGGCUGUCGUCAGCUCGUGUUGUGAAAUGUUGGGUUAAGUCCCGCAACGAGCGCAACCCUUAUCCUUUGUUGCCAGCGGUUAGGCCGGGAACUCAAAGGAGACUGCCAGUGAUAAACUGGAGGAAGGUGGGGAUGACGUCAAGUCAUCAUGGCCCUUACGAGUAGGGCUACACACGUGCUACAAUGGCGCAUACAAAGAGAAGCGACCUCGCGAGAGCAAGCGGACCUCAUAAAGUGCGUCGUAGUCCGGAUUGGAGUCUGCAACUCGACUCCAUGAAGUCGGAAUCGCUAGUAAUCGUGGAUCAGAAUGCCACGGUGAAUACGUUCCCGGGCCUUGUACACACCGCCCGUCACACCAUGGGAGUGGGUUGCAAAAGAAGUAGGUAGCGUAACAAUC